AUACAGAGGGUGCAAGCGUUACUCGGAAUCACUGGGCGUAAAGCGCGCGCAGGCGGCUAUUUAAGUUGGAUGUGAAAGCCUACGGCUCAACCGUAGAACUGCAUCCAAAACUAUUUAGCUAGAGUGUGGGAGAGGAAGAUGGAAUUAGUUGUGUAGGGGUAAAAUCCGUAGAGAUAACUAGGAAUACCAAAAGCGAAGGCAAUCUUCUGGAACACCACUGACGCUGAGGCGCGAAAGCGUGGGGAGCAAACGGGAUUAGAAACCCUAGUAGUCC
rnacentral:rRNA from 1 species